AUGCACAAUCAUCAGCAACAAACCUACUAAUACUGGAACAAUACAGAGAAGAUUAGCAUGACCCAUGGGCAAAGAUGAAUGUAACUACAUAAAUCAUUCUACAUUUUU